GCGACGACGCUGGCGGCGUGCCUAAAUACAUGCAAGUCGAGCGGACCUUAUCGAUCUUCUGAUCGCUCUUGGUUAACGGCCGAAGGGUGAAUUACACGUAAGCCACCUGGCCGUAAGAACGGGAUAACUACCGGAAACGGUAGCUUAUACCGGAAAAUUUAUCGCUUCCCAAGGAACGGUUAUGAAAGACGGAACCAUCUGUCCCUUACGGAUGGGCCUGCCGCGCAAUAACUUGUUUGUGAAGUAACGGCUCCCCCAGGCCACCAUUCCUAACCCACCUGAAAAGGUGAACGGCCCCCCUGGGACUGAAACCCGGCCCAAACUCCUACCGGAAGCCGCAAUAAGGAAUCUUCCGCAAUGGGCGAAAGCCUGACGGAACAACGCCCCGUGAGUGAUGAAAGUUUUCCGAACGUAAAGCUCUUUUGCCCGGGAAAAACGUCCGAAAAAAUAACUGCUAUCCCAAUGACCGUACCUGAAAAGAAAGCCCCGGCCAACUACCUGCCCGCAGCCGCGGUAAUACCUAAGGGGCAAGCGUUGUCCGGAAUUAUUGGGCGUAAAGCGCGCGCAAGCCGUCACUUAAGUCUGGUGUUUAAGGCUAAGGCUCAACUCUUGUUCGCACUGGAAACUGGGUGACUUGAAUGCAGAAAAGAAAGUGGAAUUCCACGUGUAGCGGUGAAAUGCCUAAAGAUGUGGAAGAACACCAGUGGCCAAAGCCACUUUCUGGGCUGUAACUGACGCUKARGCGCSAAAGCSUGGGGAGCAAACMGGAWUAGAUACCCUGGUAGUCCACGCCGUAAACSAUGAAUGCUAGGUGUUAGGGGUUUCGAUACCCUUGGUGCCGAAGUUAACACAUUAAGCAUUCCGCCUGGGGAGUACGGUCGCAAGACUGAAACUCAAAGGAAUUGACGGGGACCCGCACAAGCAGUGGAGUAUGUGGUUUAAUUCGAAGCAACGCGAAGAACCUUACCAGGUCUUGACAUCCCUCUGAAUCCUCUAGAGAUAGACGCGGCCUUCGGGACAGAGGAGACAGGUGGUGCAUGGUUGUCGUCAGCUCGUGUCGUGAGAUGUUGGGUUAAGUCCCGCAACGAGCGCAACCCUUGAUUUUAGUUGCCAGCACAUUAAGGUGGGCACUCUAGAAUGACUGCCGGUGACAAACCGGAGGAAGGCGGGGAUGACGUCAAAUCAUCAUGCCCCUUAUGACCUGGGCUACACACGUACUACAAUGGCCAGUACAACGGGAAGCGAAGUCGCGAGAUGGAGCCAAUCCUAUCAAAGCUGGUCUCAGUUCGGAUUGCAGGCUGCAACCCGCCUGCAUGAAGUCGGAAUUGCUAGUAAUCGCGGAUCAGCAUGCCGCGGUGAAUACGUUCCCGGGUCUUGUACACACCGCCCGUCACACCACGAGAGUUUACAACACCCGAAGUCGGUGGGGUAACCGCAAGGAGCCAGCCGCCGAAGGUGGGGUAGAUGAUUGGGGUGAAGUCGUAACAAGGUAGCCGUAUCGGAAGGUGCUC
rnacentral:rRNA from 1 species